rnacentral:rRNA from 1 species
UACGUAGGGACCAAGCGUUGUCCGGAAUCAUUGGGCGUAAAGAGCGUGUAGGCGGCUUGUUAAGUCUUGCGUGAAAUCUCGGGGCUCAACCCCGAGCGGUCGUGAGAAACUGGCAGGCUAGAGUGCGGGAGAGGAGAGUGGAAUUCUUGGUGUAGCGGUGAAAUGCGUAGAUAUCGAGAGGAACACCUGCGGCGAAGGCGGGUUGCUGGGCUGACACUGACGCUGAGGCGCGAAAGCUAGGGGAGCGAACGGG